rnacentral:rRNA from 1 species
UAGGGAAUCUUCCGCAAUGGGCGAAAGCCUGACGGAGCAACGCCGCGUGAGUGAUGAAGGUCUUCGGAUCGUAAAACUCUGUUAUUAGGGAAGAACAAAUGUGUAAGUAACUAUGCACGUCUUGACGGUACCUAAUCAGAAUGCCACGGCUAACUACGUGCCAGCAGCCGCGGUAAUACGUAGGUGGCAAGCGUUAUCCGGAAUUAUUGGGCGUAAAGCGCGCGUAGGCGGUUUUUUAAGUCUGAUGUGAAAGCCCACGGCUCAACCGUGGAGGGUCAUUGGAAACUGGAAAACUUGAGUGCAGAAGAGGAAAGUGGAAUUCCAUGUGUAGCGGUGAAAUGCGCAGAGAUAUGGAGGAACACCAGUGGCGAAGGCGACUUUCUGGUCUGUAACUGACGCUGAUGUGCGAAAGCGUGGGGAUCAAACAGG